rnacentral:rRNA from 1 species
CGGGACACGUGGUAUCCUGUCUGAAUAUGGGGGGACCAUCCUCCAAGGCUAAAUACUCCUGACUGACCGAUAGUGAACCAGUACCGUGAGGGAAAGGCGAAAAGAACCCCGGCGAGGGGAGUGAAAAAGAACCUGAAACCGUGUACGUACAAGCAGUGGGAGCACGCUUAGGCGUGUGACUGCGUACCUUUUGUAUAAUGGGUCAGCGACUUAUAUUCUGUAGCAAGGUUAACCGAAUAGGGGAGCCGAAGGGAAACCGAGUCUUAACUGGGCGUUAAGUUGCAGGGUAUAGACCCGAAACCCGGUGAUCUAGCCAUGGGCAGGUUGAAGGUUGGGUAACACUAACUGGAGGACCGAACCGACUAAUGUUGAAAAAUUAGCGGAUGACUUGUGGCUGGGGGUGAAAGGCCAAUCAAACCGGGAGAUAGCUGGUUCUCCCCGAAAGCUAUUUAGGUAGCGCCUCGUGAAUUCAUCUCCGGGGGUAGAGCACUGUUUCGGCAAGGGGGUCAUCCCGACUUACCAACCCGAUGCAAACUGCGAAUACCGGAGAAUGUUAUCACGGGAGACACACGGCGGGUGCUAACGUCCGUCGUGAAGAGGGAAACAACCCAGACCGCCAGCUAAGGUCCCAAAGUCAUGGUUAAGUGGGAAACGAUGUGGGAAGGCCCAGACAGCCAGGAUGUUGGCUUAGAAGCAGCCAUCAUUUAAAGAAAGCGUAAUAGCUCACUGGUCGAGUCGGCCUGCGCGGAAGAUGUAACGGGGCUAAACCAUGCACCGAAGCUGCGGCAGCGACGCUUAUGCGUUGUUGGGUAGGGGAGCGUUCUGUAAGCCUGCGAAGGUGUGCUGUGAGGCAUGCUGGAGGUAUCAGAAGUGCGAAUGCUGACAUAAGUAACGAUAAAGCGGGUGAAAAGCCCGCUCGCCGGAAGACCAAGGGUUCCUGUCCAACGUUAAUCGGGGCAGGGUGAGUCGACCCCUAAGGCGAGGCCGAAAGGCGUAGUCGAUGGGAAACAGGUUAAUAUUCCUGUACUUGGUGUUACUGCGAAGGGGGGACGGAGAAGGCUAUGUUGGCCGGGCGACGGUUGUCCCGGUUUAAGCGUGUAGGCUGGUUUUCCAGGCAAAUCCGGAAAAUCAAGGCUGAGGCGUGAUGACGAGGCACUACGGUGCUGAAGCAACAAAUGCCCUGCUUCCAGGAAAAGCCUCUAAGCAUCAGGUAACAUCAAAUCGUACCCCAAACCGACACAGGUGGUCAGGUAGAGAAUACCAAGGCGCUUGAGAGAACUCGGGUGAAGGAACUAGGCAAAAUGGUGCCGUAACUUCGGGAGAAGGCACGCUGAUAUGUAGGUGAAGUGAUUUACUCAUGGAGCUGAAAUCAGUCGAAGAUACCAGCUGGCUGCAACUGUUUAUUAAAAACACAGCACUGUGCAAACACGAAAGUGGACGUAUACGGUGUGACGCCUGCCCGGUGCCGGAAGGUUAAUUGAUGGGGUUAGCGCAAGCGAAGCUCUUGAUCGAAGCCCCGGUAAACGGCGGCCGUAACUAUAACGGUCCUAAGGUAGCGAAAUUCCUUGUCGGGUAAGUUCCGACCUGCACGAAUGGCGUAAUGAUGGCCAGGCUGUCUCCACCCGAGACUCAGUGAAAUUGAACUCGCUGUGAAGAUGCAGUGUACCCGCGGCAAGACGGAAAGACCCCGUGAACCUUUACUAUAGCUUGACACUGAACAUUGAGCCUUGAUGUGUAGG